GACGAACGCUGGCGGCGUGCCUAAUACAUGCAAGUCGAAAGCAGUGGGGACGGGUGAGUAACACGUGGGUAACCUCCCAUCAGAGGGGAUAACACUUGGAAACAGGUGCUAAACCGAUACUGAUGGAUGGACCCGAUGUGCAUUAGCUAGUUGGUGAGGUAACGGCGCACCAAGGCAACGAUGCAUAGCCGACCGUGGAGUGGUAGCGGCCACACGGGGACUGAGCACCGGCCCAUACUCCUACGGGAGGCAGACGUAGGGAAUCUUCUGCAAUGGACGAAAGUCUGACCGAGCAACGCCGCGUGAGUGAAGAAGGUUUUCGGAUCGUAAAACUCUGUUGUUAGAGCAGCGGUAUCUAACCAGAAAGCCACGGCUAACUACGGGCCAGCAGCCGCGGUAAUAC
rnacentral:rRNA from 1 species